rnacentral:miRNA from 1 species
UGUGUCCCACGGUUCCAACUCU